rnacentral:rRNA from 1 species
GCCUGGUGGGUAGUUUGACUGGGGCGGUCUCCUCCCAAAGAGUAACGGAGGAGCACGAAGGUGGGCUAAUCACGGUUGGACAUCGUGAGGUUAGUGCAAUGGCAUAAGCCCGCUUGACUGCGAGAAUGACAAUUCGAGCAGGUGCGAAAGCAGGUCAUAGUGAUCCGGUGGUUCUGAAUGGAAGGGCCAUCGCUCAACGGAUAAAAGGUACUCCGGGGAUAACAGGCUGAUACCGCCCAAGAGUUCAUAUCGACGGCGGUGUUUGGCACCUCGAUGUCGGCUCAUCACAUCCUGGGGCUGAAGUCG